AUUAAACGCUGGCGGCAUGCCUUACACAUGCAAGUCGAACGGCAGCACGGGGGCAACCCUGGUGGCGAGUGGCGGACGGGUGAGUAACACAUCGGAACGUGCCCUGGAGUGGGGGAUAACGCAGCGAAAGCUACGCUAAUACCGCAUAUUCUGUGAGCAGGAAAGCAGGGGAUCGCAAGACCUUGCGCUUUGGGAGCGGCCGAUGUCGGAUUAGCUAGUUGGUGGGGUAAAGGCUUACCAAGGCGACGAUCCGUAGCGGGUCUGAGAGGAUGAUCCGCCACACUGGGACUGAGACACGGCCCAGACUCCUACGGGAGGCAGCAGUGGGGAAUUUUGGACAAUGGGCGGAAGCCUGAUCCAGCCAUGCCGCGUGAGUGAAGAAGGCCU
rnacentral:rRNA from 1 species